UGGGGAAUUUUGGACAAUGGGCGAAAGCCUGAUCCAGCAAUGCCGCGUGUGUGAAGAAGGCCUUCGGGUUGUAAAGCACUUUUGUCCGGAAAGAAAUCCUUGGCUCUAAUACAGUCGGGGGAUGACGGUACCGGAAGAAUAAGCACCGGCUAACUACGUGCCAGCAGCCGCGGUAAUACGUAGGGUGCAAGCGUUAAUCGGAAUUACUGGGCGUAAAGCGUGCGCAGGCGGUUUGCUAAGACCGAUGUGAAAUCCCCGGGCUCAACCUGGGAACUGCAUUGGUGACUGGCAGGCUAGAGUAUGGCAGAGGGGGGUAGAAUUCCACGUGUAGCAGUGAAAUGCGUAGAGAUGUGGAGGAAUACCGAUGGCGAAGGCAGCCCCCUGGGCCAAUACUGACGCUCAUGCACGAAAGCGUGGGGAGCAAACAGGAUUAGAUACCCUGGUAGUCCACGCCCUAAACGAUGUCAACUAGUUGUUGGGGAUUCA
rnacentral:rRNA from 1 species